rnacentral:rRNA from 1 species
GGGGAAUAUUGCACAAUGGGCGAAAGCCUGAUGCAGCGACGCCGCGUGAGCGAAGAAGUAUUUCGGUAUGUAAAGCUCUAUCAGCAGGGAAGAUAAUGACGGUACCCAACAAGGAAGUGACGGCUAACUACGUGCCAGCAGCCGCGGUAAAACGUAGGUCACAAGCGUUGUCCGGAAUUACUGGGUGUAAAGGGAGCGCAGGCGGGAAGACAAGUUGGAAGUGAAAUCUAUGGGCUCAACCCAUAAACUGCUUUCAAAACUGUUUUUCUUGAGUAGUGCAGAGGUAGGCGGAAUUCCCGGUGUAGCGGUGGAAUGCGUAGAUAUCGGGAGGAACACCAGUGGCGAAGGCGGCCUACUGGGCACCAACUGACGCUGAGGCUCGAAAGUGUGGGUAGCAAACAGGAUUAGAUACCCUGGUAGUCCACACCGUAAACGAUGAUUACUAGGUGUUGGAGGAUUGACCCCUUCAGUGCCGCAGUUAACACAAUAAGUAAUCCACCUGGGGAGUACGACCGCAAGGUUGAAACUCAAAGGAAUUGACGGGGGCCCGCACAAGCAGUGGAGUAUGUGGUUUAAUUCGACGCAACGCGAAGAACCUUACCAAGUCUUGACAUCCCUUGACAGACAUAGAAAUAUGUAAUCUCUUCGGAGCAAGGAGACAGGUGGUGCAUGGUUGUCGUCAGCUCGUGUCGUGAGAUGUUGGGUUAAGUCCCGCAACGAGCGCAACCCUUAUGGUCAGUUACUACGCAAGAGGACUCUGGCCAGACUGCCGUUGACAAAACGGAGGAAGGUGGGGAUGACGUCAAAUCAUCAUGCCCUUUAUGACUUGGGCUACACACGUACUACAAUGGCGUUAAACAAAGAGAAGCAAGACCGCGAGGUGGAGCAAAACUCAGAAACAACGUCCCAGUUCGGACUGCAGGCUGCAACUCGCCUGCACGAAGUCGGAAUUGCUAGUAAUCGUGGAUCAGCAUGCCACGGUGAAUACGUUCCCG